UACGUAGGGCGCGAGCGUUGUCCGGAAUUAUUGGGCGUAAAGGGCGCGUAGGCGGCCAUGCGUGUCUUCCGUGAAAUCCCUCGGCUUAACUGAGGACGUGCGGAAGAAACUGCAAGGCUUGAGUCCGGGAGAGGGGGGUGGAAUUCCCAGUGUAGCGGUGAAAUGCGUAGAUAUUGGGAGGAACACCGGUGGCGAAGGCGGCCCCCUGGACCGGUACUGACGCUGAGGCGCGAAAGCGUGGGUAGCAAACGGG
rnacentral:rRNA from 1 species